rnacentral:rRNA from 1 species
CAGUAGCCGCGGUAAUACGAAGGGGGCUAGCGUUGCUCGGAAUGACUGGGCGUAAAGGGCGCGUAGGCGGCGAUCAAAGUCAGGCGUGAAAUUCCUGGGCUCAACCUGGGGGCUGCGUUUGAUACUUGGUUGCUAGAGUGAGGAAGAGGGUCGUGGAAUUCCCAGUGUAGAGGUGAAAUUCGUAGAUAUUGGGAAGAACACCGGUGGCGAAGGCGGCGACCUGGUCCUUGACUGACGCUGAGGCGCGAAAGCGUGGGGAGCAAACAGGAUUAGAGACCCGCGUAGUCCCUGUCUCUUAUAC